CUUCAAUCAGUUUAGAUGAACGGGAGGAGACAAAUUAAAGGAUUUUUAUGCCUUGAGAAAAUUAAGACAUGGAUUGUGUGCUAUUCUGAGGGUGAAUGGGUAAGACAAAAAAUCUUGUCUUGCAACAAGACGGUGAUGACGAUAAUGCGGGGAGAGAAUCUCACCGGGUUCUACAGGAUGCUGCAAAUACAACAGAAUGAGACUUGGAUGACUCGCAUCAUGGAAUAAAUCUCUGUAUGUGAGAAUUUUUUUGCCAACUGAUGCUGUGUCAGGUACUGCAGGAUUCCUAGGUCUCUGACAGUACUGAUGAUAGGGUUGAGUCGGUUGACUCCCACCCAGAUGAAGAGGAUCAGGAGGAGUUUCACUCUUUCUAUGACUGCACAGUCUUCCCCUUCAUGCUGAUGCCCCAGAAUGGCUAAGGCAAGAGGAGUGCCUUUAGGAGUAAAGAGUAAAAACAUGAAUGCUAUAUUUGGAGGAGUUCUUCCUGUCAGGUUCCAUGUACUGUCUGGGUGUGUUUGAGAUCGACUGCAUUGCGGUUGAUCUGCUCAGAAUAACUAUUCUACAAGUCACUUUGCAUUCCAAAUAACUACUCAUUAUGUGAUCAGGACUAGUGAUUCUGUGCCUUGCCUUGCUCAAAAUGAUCCCUUCAGACUAGCUAAUUAUCUCCAGUUUAGUCCUGCUCCAACUCUUGACCUUUCUUUGGAACAUUGGGACCCCUCUCCCUUAGCAAAGUGCCCUCCCUUCAAUACUGUUACUUUCAAGAACUAGAAGUGUCAUACAUUGUGUACUGGUAUGUGUAAAUAGUUAGUUUUACUCUGUUCACUCUUUGUUACUUGACCUUUGUUUAGUUCAGUAUCAGCAGUCCUUUGGAUUGUUGUGUUUAGAUGGUAAUGUUUGACAUGUAUAUUUUCAAUGUAUUGACAUGUAUAUUUUCAAUGUAUUGGCAUGAAGACAGAGAACCCUGACCCAUAAUCAGGCUCAAUAUUCUAUGUAGUGUGUUAAACAACCUGUCUCCAUGGACAGGGAGUAAGAAGAGGGUUGAACAUUAAAUCUGUCGUUCUUUUAUACCAACAUAUACUUUUUCAAACCAGAUUUGACCAACCAUAGACCAAAAACCAAACAAAAUAUCCAAUCAGAUCAAACCAACGUUCACUAAAAUGGGUCACACCUUACUGUAGGGGCAGAGAUGGCCAGUAUUUGAAAUAGAUGGAGACCUGCACACACUGUCCAAAACUGAGGCUUGAAUGCAAAAUUAAGAUGUUUAUGAUAACAUCAUGGUGCCCAAUAAAAUCAUAGUGCAUAAAUGAAAGGUGAAAACGCAACACAAACGUUUCGGUCUCAGGUGAAAUGAGUGCGUUCAGCAGCUCUGCCAAUGGCAAACAAUACACUACCAAACAGCUCCUCGCAUGCAGCUCUUCUAGCGUCAUAUACCUUAUCUCCUGUCCAUGCAAUACGUGGGCAAAACUAGUAGACAGAUAACACGUAUUAUAGAACACAAGAGUGCUGUAAAGAGAAAUUACCCUAAAUCCCCUAUUGAACGUAAUUUCUCAAAGACCGGUCUCAUCUCCGUGUCCUGCGCUAUACAGCAGAUAAAACGUUCACGUAGGGGUGGUAAUCUGGAACUCAGUCUUCUCCAGACAGAACAUGCACCUGCAUUCUAUUUACAAACUCUCCACCCAUCAGGCUUGAGUGAAGAAUUGUUAUUAAAGUGUUUUCUCUAAGUGGUAUAUUGCCUCUUAUUGGUGUUUGCUACCUCCAUCUAGUGGUAUCUCUAACUCCCUACUCUUACCACCCUGUGUUAUUUAUUCUGAGGAAAUUUUCACAUGG